UGGGGAAUAUUGCACAAUGGGCGAAAGCCUGAUGCAGCAACGCCGCGUGAGGGACGACGGCCUUCGGGUUGUAAACCUCUUUUAGCAAGGAAGAAGCGAAAGUGACGGUACUUGCAGAAAAAGCGCCGGCUAACUACGUGCCAGCAGCCGCGGUAAUACGUAGGGCGCAAGCGUUAUCCGGAAUUAUUGGGCGUAAAGAGCUCGUAGGCGGUUUGUCGCGUCUGCUGUGAAAACCCGAGGCUCAACCUCGGGCCUGCAGUGGGUACGGGCAGACUAGAGUGCGGUAGGGGAGAUUGGAACUCCUGGUGUAGCGGUGGAAUGCGCAGAUAUCAGGAAGAACACCGAUGGCGAAGGCAGAUCUCUGGGCCGUAACUGACGCUGAGGAGCGAAAGGGUGGGGAGCAAACAGGCUUAGAUACCCUGGUAGUCCACCCCGUAAACGUUGGGAACUAGUUGUGGGUCCAUUCCACGGAUUCCGUGACGCAGCUAACGCAUUAAGUUCCCCGCCUGGGGAGUAC
rnacentral:rRNA from 1 species